AUUGAACGCUGGCGGCAUGCCUUACACAUGCAAGUCGAACGGCAGCACGGGAGCAAUCCUGGUGGCGAGUGGCGAACGGUGAGUAAUAUAUCGGAACGUGCCCGGUCGUGGGGAUAACGUAGCGAAAGCUACGCUAAUACCGCAUACGAUCUACGGAUGAAAGCGGGGGAUCGCAAGACCUCGCGCGAUUGGAGCGGCCGAUAUCAGAUUAGGUAGUUGGUGAGGUAAAGGCUCACCAAGCCGACGAUCUGUAGCUGGUCUGAGAGGACGACCAGCCACACUGGGACUGAGACACGGCCCAGACUCCUACGGGAGGCAGCAGUGGGGAAUUUUGGACAAUGGGCGGCAAGACCUGAUCCAGCAAUAGCCGCGUGCAGGA
rnacentral:rRNA from 1 species